UACGAAGGGGGCUAGCGUUGUUCGGAAUUACUGGGCGUAAAGCGCGUGCAGGCGGUCUUCCAAGUCAGUGGUGAAAGCCCGGAGCUCAACUCCGGAACUGCCAUUGAAACUGUAAGACUUGAGGACGAGAGAGGUGAGUGGAAUUCCCAGUGUAGAGGUGAAAUUCGUAGAGAUCGGGAGGAACACCAGAGGCGAAGGCGGCGACCUGGACAGUUACUGACACUCAACUGCGAAAGCGUGGGGAGCAAACAGG
rnacentral:rRNA from 1 species